rnacentral:tRNA from 1 species
AGACAAAAACUGAUUAUGAUGUCUGAAUUAAAUUUUUAGACCGUAAUCCUGUCACCUUAGGUCGAUCGGUACCUCAGAUUUAUAGUUAGAAGAAAGUGAGUAUUCAUUUUUUAAUUAGCUUCAAAUUUCAGUUCCUAAACUUGUCUAGGUCACACCCAACACUUUCUCCUGGGCUAUUAGCUCAGGCGGUUAGAGCGCACCCCUGAUAAGGGUGAGGUCCCUGGUUCAAGUCCAGGAUGGCCCAUUCGUUGUUGGGGGUAUAGCUCAGUUGGUAGAGCGCCUGCUUUGCAAGCAGGAUGUCAGCGGUUCGAGUCCGCUUACUUCCACUGAUCAACUACCUGAUAACUCAAUUUGGAGAUUGUCAUUUGGUUAAUGUGACUUAGAUGUUGUUCAUCUGAAUGAACCUAGCUUCCUAUCUUUUAUUGACUGAUAAGACGCUGGGCUCACUGUUACUUGAAAGAGUAUCAGUUUGAUUCAGUAGAACCUUGACAACUGCAUAGGAAAGUCUGGAAAAAUAAAGCAUCUCAUAGAUGCAUAAAAAGCUAUUUUCUGAUAUUUUCGAUAUCUAAAUAAUAGCUUUUAUGUUAAUUCUUGAGUUAGAGCAUAAUUUCUAUUGCUUAAUUAAUUCUUCUAGAACUAAUUAAGCUUCUAAAUAAAUUUAGAAAUUAAAUAGAGAUUUAAUU